AAAGGAAAGAAGAAAGAAGAUCCUAAAUCCACGGCAAAGGAAACAGAUAAGAAGGCUGAGGAGGCCUCAGAGGCUAAGGGUGAUGAUAGCAAGAAAUCAGAAGAUAAAAAGGAGUCGGAUCAGGGUACCGUGCAAAACGCCUUGUUCGUAGAAAGUGACUCAGAUUCGGAAGAAUUCACUAGCAAUGAAGCGCUGCUGAAAUACUUGAAAAGCUUUGAAAUAGUGGAUGAAGAUGAUGCGGCAUUUAUACUGAAGAUUACUCAGAAAUUUACGGAU